GACGAACGCUGGCGGCGUGCUUAACACAUGCAAGUCGAACGGAAAGGCCCUGCUUUUGUGGGGUGCUCGAGUGGCGAACGGGUGAGUAACACGUGAGUAACCUGCCCUUGACUUUGGGAUAACUUCAGGAAACUGGGGCUAAUACCGGAUAGGAGCUCCUGCUGCAUGGUGGGGGUUGGAAAGUUUCGGCGGUUGGGGAUGGACUCGCGGCUUAUCAGCUUGUUGGUGGGGUAGUGGCUUACCAAGGCUUUGACGGGUAGCCGGCCUGAGAGGGUGACCGGCCACAUUGGGACUGAGAUACAGCCCAGACUCCUACGGGAGGCAGCAGUGGGGAAUAUUGCACAAUGGGCGGAAGCCUGAUGCAGCAACGCCGCGUGCGGGAUGACGGCCUUCGAGUUGUAAACCGCUUUCGCCUGUGACGAAGCGUGAGUGACGGUAAUGGGUAAAGAAGCACCGGCUAACUACGUG
rnacentral:rRNA from 1 species